CCUACGGGAGGCAGCAGUGGGGAAUAUUGCGCAAUGGGCGAAAGCCUGACGCAGCGACGCCGCGUGAGGGAUGAAGGUCUUCGGAUCGUAAACCUCUUUCAGCAGGGAAGCACGGUCACUGUGCUAAUCAGGAGUGAAUUGACGGGACCUGCAAAGAAAGCACCGGCUAACUCCGUGCCAGCAGCCGCGGUAAUAAGGAGGGUGCGAGCGUUAAUCGGAAUUGCUGGGCGUAAACCGCUCGUAGGCGGUAUGUCAAGUCAAGGGUGAAGUCCCCGGGACCAAAGUGGGAAGUGCCGUUGAAACUGGCAAACUGGAGUGUGUGAGAGGAUCGUGGAAUGCGAGGUGUAGGGGUGAAAU
rnacentral:rRNA from 1 species